UACGUAGGGGGCAAGCGUUGUCCGGAUUUAUUGGGCGUAAAGAGCUCGUAGGCGGCCUGUUGCGUCCGCUGUGAAAGCCCGGGGCUUAACCCCGGGUCGGCAGUGGAUACGGGCAGGCUAGAGGUAGGUAGGGGAGAAUGGAAUUCCCGGUGUAGCGGUGAAAUGCGCAGAUAUCGGGAGGAACACCGGUGGCGAAGGCGGUUCUCUGGGCCUUACCUGACGCUGAGGAGCGAAAGCGUGGGGAGCGAACAGG
rnacentral:rRNA from 1 species